rnacentral:misc_RNA from 1 species
CCCAUUUAUUUGUAGGAUAAAAUCUAGAUAAUUGAAAUGUGCAAUUUGUGGCACCUCUGCUGCAUCUAAGCGAACCCUGCAUUGAUCACUUCCCCCUAUAUUGCUAAAGUUCUAAUGCAUAUACUUUGUUUUAGUUCUACUUAACUUGAAACUCUUAAGGCUAUAGAGUGCUCCUCCAUAACUCUUAACUCCUAUUAACUUCAAUUUGGGUUUUAUCUAUUAAAAUUAUGUCAUCUGCAGAUAUCAUUCACCAGUGUUUAUCCUCUUGGAUAUGCUUCAUUAUCUCAUUCAUGGCCAAAGCAAAAAGUUAAGCACUGAAGGCCGAUCCUUAGCGGAGUCCAACUGUGAUAAGCAAAUGUUUUAUAUCACCCUUGGCUGUCCAAAUACUGAUGACUGCCCCUACGUACAUAUACUUCAACACCUUUCUAUAUCUAAUGAGAUGCUGUUUUCCAUUCCAAAUUCAACCAUAGAACAUCCCUUGGGGUCUUUAUCAUAUUCUUUUCUAGAUUGAUAAAAAAAACUAUGGAAGUCUUUUCUUUUCUCUCUUAAUACCUCCAUCAACCCUAGUAUUAGAAAAUUGUCUCUAUGGUUGAUCUUCCUGGCAUAAAACUAAACUGGUUAUUUGAGAUAGUUGUGUUGCAUCUUAAUCUACGAUCCAUCGCACUCUCUCAAUGCUUCAUUGUGUGAUUCACGAUCUUGCUACCUUUGUAACUAGAGCAACUUUGGAUUUUUCCCUUAUUCAACGUUUUAAGAAAAUGUAUGAUAAGGUUAUUUGAUUCAUUAAGAGGACAUGGUUAGUUGAUAAGAUGACCGUUUAUUUUCCUGUUGUCACUUGUCAUUGUCACAACUAGUCUUCAGUCCUACAUUACACAAGCCAAUAUAGAGCUAAACGUACCUUGAAAAAACUGCUGUUUUGUUCUUGAAACAGGUGCAUUCAUCCUGUUACCAUGACUACUGUUGACAGUCUAGUUGGUCUAUGCUUGCUGUUUCCUUGUAACUGAUUACAUCUAUGUUCUUCUAGAAUGUUGGUUUACUUGGCAUGGGCAGGCUGCACAUUGUUUCAACUUGCACUCUGUUUUCUAUUCUUCUAAAAUAUUACUUGAUAUUGACAUUUUGUACAUCUACUAUCCUUGUUUAGACCAGGUAAUAUAGCUGUUAAUUUGCUGUAGGUAGCUUGGGAGCAUGAACAAUUU